UACAGGGGGGCAAGCGUUGUUCGGAAUUACUGGGCGUAAAGGGUUUGUAGGUGGCUUGCUAAGUCAGACGUGAAAUCCCUCGGCUUAACCGGGGAACUGCGUCUGAUACUGGAGGGCUUGAGUUUGGGAGAGGGAUGCGGAAUUCCAGGUGUAGCGGUGAAAUGCGUAGAUAUCUGGAGGAACACCGGUGGCGAAGGCGGCAUCCUGGACCAACACUGACGCUGAGGUGCGAAAGCGUGGGGAGCAAACAGG
rnacentral:rRNA from 1 species